GCUAAUAAAUUAGCACGUUAGCACGUUAUUGUAAUAUCCCAUAGUACAUACAUGUUAUUAAAACUUGAACUAAUGCACUGUGAGUCUUAUAAAUUGCUUACAUACCUCACCGAUUUCUGCCAGUCUGGAAAACGCUCGGUUUAGUUCCUGUCUCCGCCUCCCAAAAUGUCUAGUGUAAUCGGAUUGGUCAGAUGACUACUCAACUGUUAUUGGUCAACUGGGUUCGGCGUGUGUUUGAAAGGUUACGCCCCUGACUACGCGUGGAUUUUCCGGUUCUGACUGAGUCACAGGCAACGUAAACAAGCGCUAUAUUUCUCUAUAAACGAUGGUGUCUGUACUGCCUUACCACUUCAAGCUCGAUCCAGAGAGUUCAGACGGCCGUUACGAUGUAAACGAUCUCCGUCAAUGAACGCGAUUGGAUUUAACUUUUUUAGGUGUCCUUAGCUCUGCCAGAAUGCUAAACGAAGACGAAAAUGUGUUGCAAAGACAUCCAAAAGGUUUUAAGGAGAAUGCAACAUGUUCCAGGGCCUCUUACCUGCGUUAUUCAUCAUCCAGGUUUUGCACAAAUUGUCUAAAUCCCUACACACAGAACAUUUAUUGUACCGACUAUAAGCCUUUGAGGUGCAGGACUAGAAUACGCUUGGAGCUUCCUGAUCAGAUCGGUCACAAUUUUGGCUUUCGAUGACCCCUGCACUGAAGAUGGCAUGCAAUCACGUCCUCCUUUGAAGGUCUCUCAAACUGU